CACGUAGUUAGCCGGGGCUUCUUACUCAGGUACCGUCAUUUACUUCUUCCCUGCUGAUAGAGCUUUACAUAACGAAUUACUUCUUCACUCACGCGGCGUCGCUGCAUCAGGGUUCCCCCCAUUGUGCAAUAUCCCCCACUGCUGCCUCUCGUAGGAGUCUGGGCCGUGUCUCAGUCCCAAUGUGGCCGUCCGCCCUCUCAGGCCGGCUACUGAUCGUCGCUUUGGAGGCCGUUACCCUGCCAACUGGCUAAUCAGACGCGGGCCCAUCGUAUACCGUCUCGGCUUUCACACUCCAGUAUGCACUGCUGUGCGCUUAUGCGGUAUUAGCACCUAUUUCUAAGUGUUAUCCCCCUGUAUACGGUAGGUUGCCCACGCGUUACUCACCCGUCCGCCACUAAGAUACUAUUUUCCUUCAGACGAAUCCUCAUUCCAAUAUACUCCCCGUUCGACUUGCUAUGUGUAGCACGCCGCCAGCCGUUCACUCCUGUACGCC
rnacentral:rRNA from 1 species